AUCCAGUUGACGAGUCCCGAAUAGGACGAAACGCGCGCCUUGGAU
rnacentral:hammerhead_ribozyme from 1 species